GGGGUUGUGGCUCAGUGGUGGAGCACUUGCCUCACACGUAUGAGACACUGGGUUCGAUCCUCAGCAAUACAU
rnacentral:tRNA from 1 species